UGGGGAAUAUUGGACAAUGGGCGAAAGCCUGAUCCAGCCAUGCCGCGUGUGUGAAGAAGGUCUUCGGAUUGUAAAGCACUUUAAGUUGGGAGGAAGGGCUAUUACCUAAUACGUGAUGGUUUUGACGUUACCGACAGAAUAAGCACCGGCUAACUCUGUGCCAGCAGCCGCGGUAAUACAGAGGGUGCAAGCGUUAAUCGGAAUUGCUGGGCGUAAAGCGCGCGUAGGUGGUUCGUUAAGUUGGAUGUGAAAGCCCCGGGCUUAACCUGGGAACUGCAUUCAAAACUGACGAGCUAGAGUAUGGUAGAGGGUGGUGGAAUUUCCUGUGUAGCGGUGAAAUGCGUAGAUAUAGGAAGGAACACCAGUGGCGAAGGCGACCACCUGGACUGAUACUGACACUGAGGUGCGAAAGCGUGGGGAGCAAACAGG
rnacentral:rRNA from 1 species